GAUGAAGAACGCAGCGAAAUGCGAUAAGUAAUGUGAAUUGCAGAAUUCAGUGAAUCAUCGAAUCUUUGAACGCACAUUGCGCCCCCUGGUAUUCCGGCGGGCAUGCCUGUUCGAGCGUCAUUUCAACCAUCAAGCCCCCGGGCUUGUGUUGGGGACCUGCGGCUGCCCGCAGGCCCUGAAAACCAGUGGCGGGCUCGCUGUCACACCGAGCGUAGUAGCAUCAUCUCGCUCAGGGCGUGCUGCGGGUUCCGGCCGUUAAAAAGCCUCUAAUACCCAAGGUUGACCUCGGAUCAGGUAGGAAGACCCGCUGAACUUAAGCAUAUCAAUAAGCGGAGGA
rnacentral:misc_RNA from 1 species